rnacentral:rRNA from 1 species
GACGAACGCUGGCGGCGUGCUUAACACAUGCAAGUCGAACGGAAAGGCCCUGCUUUUGUGGGGUGCUCGAGUGGCGAACGGGUGAGUAACACGUGAGUAACCUGCCCUUGACUUUGGGAUAACUUCAGGAAACUGGGGCUAAUACCGGAUAGGAGCUCCUGCUGCAUGGUGGGGGUUGGAAAGUUUCGGCGGUUGGGGAUGGACUCGCGGCUUAUCAGCUUGUUGGUGGGGUAGUGGCUUACCAAGGCUUUGACGGGUAGCCGGCCUGAGAGGGUGACCGGCCACAUUGGGACUGGGAUACGGCCCAGACUCCUACGGGAGGCAGCAGUGGGGAAUAUUGCACAAUGGGCGGAAGCCUGAUGCAGCAACGCCGCGUGCGGGAUGACGGCCUUCGGGUGGUAAACCGCUUUCGCCAGUGACGAAGCGUGGGUGACGGUAAUGGGUAAAGAAGCACCGGCUAACUACGU